AUACUAGAGGAUUUUGGAACUGAAACAUAUAAUUAUUACAGAAUCAUGAAAAAUAAAACAGUACACAACAAAUGGCAUCGCAGAGACAAAAACAAAUAAACAAAUGAUAACUAGCAAAGCAGCAGCUGAAAUAAAAUUCCAGAAACUGAAGCUUUUCAGGAAUGCCAUGUUUUCGCCUGACACCUGAAAGUAUAUGGCAGUGAGGCUAGGCAGACCUCCCUUGUGAAGGCAUUCCACAGCAUUCGUGGCACCAUUCCAAGUGGGCCUGCUGCUGAUAAACUCCUUGGUACAUUUAGACCAAGGGUGGAGAAUUAGAUCUGGCUGGUGGACCGGAUGGAGACAUCCCCCAAACCCUUUGACAGAUGGGUAUGGGUGAUGGGUAACAGCACCCUGACAUCAGGUGAGGCAUUCUCCUUUGUGCUUGCAGUUUGAUUUCAAACCAUGCAGGCUAAGGAAGUGUUUCCCCUGAGAUUUUCUUUGCCCAUGAAGUUUUAAAUCAUACCAUGAAUGCAAAUGAAGCAGGGAUUGCAGAUGCCCCGCUUUCAGUAGGAAUUGGCUCCAUUAAGGAGCAUCCAGGUAGAACCAAUCCCAGCAGGGUUUGCCUUUGGCCCCAAAUUUGCAAGGUGCCACAUAGAAGCCCUGGAUGCCAAGGAACAACCAGGAGUCUAUCUUAAGGCUUCUUCUUGUUUCUUUGCAUCCACACCUUUACCUGCUCCACACCUGAUGUCAUAUGUGACAUUAUAUGUGGCAUAAGGUCUGGUGCAGGUGGGCAUGGCUUGGGGAAAAUGUAUGGAGAGCAAAUUAAGACCCCUGCUGGAGGUUCCCCAACGCAGCCAUUUUCUCUGCCCUGCACAGUGCAACCCACUUAUCCCAUAUAUGCAGCAGAAGUGAUAGUGCUGUCAUUAAAAGUUGUACGCUAUGCUUUGCUGCAUUAAUAUGAUUUUAAAUUCAUCUGGCACAGCAGUGGUGGAAAGCCUAGGUGGGAUAAGCCUAGAAGCUGUUUUACCACCCCGCCAAAAAUAUAAAAUUCACUUCAUGACAGAAAUACAAUUUCUUAGUCAAAGGAAGGAAACCGCUCUUCUGGAGGCUGGUCCACAAAACACAAAGCCCUUAUCACAACUGGAACUAAUUGGCAGCCUGGCUGGAAGCUGCAGUGGGAGGCCAAGAGCGAAGCUGACAAUUGAAGCACCCACUUGUCCCCAGAGGGGGGCCUUCUGCAGGGCGGAACCGACACAAUUUGUCACAGCAAGCGGGGGGUGUUUGCAGUGCAGCACAGUGGCUAAUUCAAAAAUGUCAAGUCUCCAGAAUGAUUAUUCCGAAAACAUCUAUAAAUUCAUAAGUCAAUUCUGAAAAGAAAAGAAAAUGGGAAGAACUAUAUAAUGGUUUUUGAAGUUUAAUUAGGGCAGACUAGCAUGAUCCCAAGGGAUUGAAGGUAAUUUUUCUAGGCGUGCAUCAUUUCUUUUACAAUUAUUUUUGUGUGU